GAUGAACGCUGGCGGCGUGCCUAAUACAUGCAAGUCGAGCGAAUGGAUUAAGAGCUUGCUCUUAUGAAGUUAGCGGCGGACGGGUGAGUAACACGUGGGUAACCUGCCCAUAAGACUGGGAUAACUCCGGGAAACCGGGGCUAAUACCGGAUAACAUUUUGAACCGCAUGGUUCGAAAUUGAAAGGCGGCUUCGGCUGUCACUUAUGGAUGGACCCGCGUCGCAUUAGCUAGUUGGUGAGGUAACGGCUCACCAAGGCAACGGUGCGUAGCCGACCUGAGAGGGUGGUCGGCCACACUGGGACUGAGACACGGCCCAGACUCCUACGGGAGGCAGCAGUAGGGAAUCUUCCGCAAUGGACGAAGGUCUGACGGAGCAACGCCGCGUGAGUGAUGAAGGCUUUCGGGUCGUAAAACUCUGUUGUUAGGGAAGAACAAGUGCUAGUUGAAUAAGCUGGCACCUUGACGGUACCUAACCAGAAAGCCACGGCUAACUACGUGCCAGCAGCCGCCGUAA
rnacentral:rRNA from 1 species